rnacentral:rRNA from 1 species
AGAGUUUGAUCCUGGCUCAGAUUGAACGCUGGCGGCAGGCCUAACACAUGCAAGUCGAACGGUAACAUUUCUAGCUUGCUAGAAGAUGACGAGUGGCGGACGGGUGAGUAAUGCUUGGGAACUUGCCUUUGCGAGGGGGAUAACAGUUGGAAACGACUGCUAAUACCGCAUAAUGUCUUCGGACCAAACGGGGCUUAGGCUCCGGCGCAAAGAGAGGCCCAAGUGAGAUUAGCUAGUUGGUAAGGUAACGGCUUACCAAGGCGACGAUCUCUAGCUGUUCUGAGAGGAAGAUCAGCCACACUGGGACUGAGACACGGCCCAGACUCCUACGGGAGGCAGCAGUGGGGAAUAUUGCACAAUGGGGGAAACCCUGAUGCAGCCAUGCCGCGUGUGUGAAGAAGGCCUUCGGGUUGUAAAGCACUUUCAGUUGUGAGGAAAAGUUAGUAGUUAAUACCUGCUAGCCGUGACGUUAACAACAGAAGAAGCACCGGCUAACUCCGUGCCAGCAGCCGCGGUAAUACGGAGGGUGCGAGCGUUAAUCGGAAUUACUGGGCGUAAAGCGCACGC